GUCUCUGAGCAUAAUGGAUAGUGCUUUGGACUUCUAAUCCAAAGGCCAUGGGUUCGAAUUUCACCUGGGAUG